UAUAUCCUGCAAUGUACGUCACGGUUUUCGUUGUUUUGAACCAAUGUUUGUUUCACGGGAGUUCGAUAUCUAGGCGUUGCUGACAGGCUUUCCUUUUGCGUAAGUAGUCAAAUUCGUCUGUGAGGACACCCACCUGCCAGAGCAGGUUCAGAAACAUUAAAGCCGAACGGCAAUUGCGGGUAUAA
rnacentral:other from 1 species